rnacentral:rRNA from 1 species
UCAUUCGGCAUCCUGCGUCCAGAUGCGCGAGAAGAGUAAGCUUUUGGCUCGAGGAGUCGAUGUGGCGUGCCUAUCACAAGUGUGUCGAGAGGACUCUUCGUAGGCUUGGUUGGAUCGGAGAGAACCCCUUGGUGAUCGCCUGUCUGGAGGGGAACAACCGCGGGAAUGACCUACCCUGACGCGGGUGACAACCGGGGAAAAGGGGUUCCACUCCAGCAUGAGCUCUUUUCCUGUGGUCAAGUUGGAAAGGUUUAUCGGUUUAGGGUGGGUCCGCGGGGCAUCAGCUAGAUGGUAAGCUAAGACCUUGCCACGGCAACGACGGCUAGCCGCCCUGAGAGGGUGAACGGUCACAGGGGUACUGAGACACGGACCCCACUCCUACGGGAGGCAGCAGUUAGGAAUCUUCCACAAUGGGCGCAAGCCUGAUGGAGCGACACUGCGUGAGGGAAGAAGGCUUUCGGGUUGUAAACCUCUAAAAGUAGGCCGAUAAUGACGGUACUACUUGAGAAGCACCGGCUAACUCCGUGCUGGCAGCCACGGUAAUACGGAGGGGGGCAACGUUAUCCGGAAUCACUGUCCGUAAUAGGGCACGCAGGCGGUUAGUUAAGUCUGAGGUUAAAGCGUGGGGCUCAACACCAUACGGUCGUUGGAUACUGGCUAACUAGACUCUUGUAGAGGUAAGUAGAGUUACCAGUGUACUGGUGGGAUGCGUAGAUACUGCUAGGAAUACCGAUAGCGAAGGCAGCUUACUAAAAAUGAGUGACGCUGACGUGCAAAGUGUGGAGAGCGAACCGGAUUAUAUACCCGGUAGUCCACACCCUAGACGAUGCAUACCUGGUGGUUGUGCACAGGCAUCAGGCCGGACAAACGCGUUAGUAUGCCGCCUGGGAGUACGGCGCAAGUUGAAUCUCAAGGAAUGAGGGGACCCGCACAGCGGGGGAGCAUGUGGUUAAUCAAGCACCGCAAAACCUAACAGGCUUGCAAUCUUGGAAUCCUCGAA